UACAGAGGUCCCAAGCGUUGUCCGGAUUCACUGGGCGUAAAGGGUGCGUAGGCGGUCGGGUAAGUCUGAUGUGAAAUCUCACAGCUUAACUGUGAAACUGCAUUGGAUACUAUCCGGCUUGAGGAAUGGAGGGGAGACUGGAAUACUUGGUGUAGCAGUGAAAUGCGUAGAUAUCAAGUGGAACACCAGUGGCGAAGGCGAGUCUCUGGACAUUUCCUGACGCUGAGGCACGAAAGCCAGGGGAGCAAACGGG
rnacentral:rRNA from 1 species